rnacentral:lncRNA from 1 species
GAAAAAAGAGAGGUCUACACAUUUGGAUUGAAUGCAAUCCCACUUCUGCCACCCUGCAUCAUGACCAAUACCUUCAUUGUCCAACUUCUACUUGUCAUUUUCUUGUCAAAUGCAGUUAUUGAAGUAGUCAGUAUUUCUGCNGGUCUUAGUCUCAAUCCGCAUGGAGCUAUACCGCCGACCGCGUCCUUGUUCAAGCGAAACAAAAGGUUAAGACAGCCAGAGAACAAGCGGAUGUUUGAAGACUUCUGUGAGAGAGCUUCCAUUGUUUGUCAGAAGCAAUUGGUCAAAUGAAGCUUAUGGACUAGUUUAGUGAUGCUAUGAUGUUCAGGAAAAAUAAAUUGUUAAUUUUCAAGUUAUUUCAAGUUUUAAAAUAGUCAAUUAUUGAUUUGAACAAUAAAUCAAUUAAAAACA